rnacentral:rRNA from 1 species
AACGAACGCUGGCGGCAUGCCUAACACAUGCAAGUCGAACGAAGGCUUCGGCCUUAGUGGCGCACGGGUGAGUAACACGUGGGAACCUGCCUUAUGGUUCGGGAUAACGUCUGGAAACGGACGCUAACACCGGAUGUGCCCUUCGGGGGAAAGUUUACGCCAUGAGAGGGGCCCGCGUCCGAUUAGGUAGUUGGUGGGGUAAUGGCCCACCAAGCCGACGAUCGGUAGCUGGUCUGAGAGGAUGAUCAGCCACACUGGGACUGAGACACGGCCCAGACUCCUACGGGAGGCAGCAGUGGGGAAUAUUGGACAAUGGGGGCAACCCUGAUCCAGCAAUGCCGCGUGAGUGAUGAAGGCCUUAGGGUUGUAAAGCUCUUUCGCACGCGACGAUGAUGACGGUAGCGUGAGAAGAAGCCCCGGCU